rnacentral:rRNA from 1 species
CGAACGCUGGCGGUGCGCCUUAUGCAUGCAAGUCGAGCGAAGCUUUUCAGUAGUUUACUACAGAAAAUGACUGAGCGGCGAACGGGUGAGUAACGCGUGAGCAACCUACCUUAGUUACUGGGAUAGCCCGAGGAAACUCGGAUUAAUACCGGAUAUUCUUAUUUAAUCACAUGAUUUUUUAAGGAAAGGUCAGCCGAACUAAGAUGGGCUCGCGUUCUAUCAGCUAGUUGGUAGGGUAAUGGCCUACCAAGGCUACGACGGAUAGCUGGUCUGAGAGGACGAUCAGCCACACUGGGACUGAGACACGGCCCAGACUCCUACGGGAGGCUGCAGCAGGGAAUAUUGCGCAAUGAGCGAAAGCUUGACGCAGCGACACCGCGUGUGGGAUGACGGAUCUAGGUUUGUAAACCACUUUCAGGAGGGAAGAAAAUGACGGUACCUCCACAAGAAGCCCCGGCCAACUACGU